rnacentral:tRNA from 1 species
GCACCAGUGGUCUGGUUGUAGAAUAGUACUCUGCCACGGUACAGACCCGGGUUCGAUUCCCGGCUGGUGCA